rnacentral:rRNA from 1 species
ACGGGGUGCAGCAGGCGCGAAAACUUUACAAUGCAGGAAACUGUGAUAAGGGAACCCCGAGUGCCCGUAUACGCGGGCUGUCCAGGUGUUUAAAACGCAUCUGAAGAAAGGGCCGGGCAAGACCGGUGCCAGCCGCCGCGGUAAUACCGGCGGCUCGAGUGGUGGCCACUUUUAUUGGGCUUAAAGCGUCCGUAGCUGGACCGAUAAGUCUCUUGGGAAAUCCGCCGGCUUAACCGGCGGGCGUCUAAGAGAUACUGUUGGUCUAGGGACCGGGAGAGGUGAGAGGUACUCCGGGGGUAGG